rnacentral:lncRNA from 1 species
GGAGAUAGAGCAAGCUCAGCGAUCGAGGUGUGGGCCGCGCGGCGCGGAAUGGAAGCGCGGGGAGUGCUCGGCGGAAGCCCGGGGUGCAGCGGGAUCGCCGGCUGAGGCCCGGGGAGGUUUAUUCACCCCGAGUCCAGCCCUCCAUUUUGCUGUCGUCAUCUCACUUUGUUUUUUAAGAUAAGUACUCACUAUGUAGUCUGGGCUAGUUUUGAACUCAUGACCUUCUGUCUCUGCUUCCAGGUGCUGGAAUGACAGAUGAUGGGUGUGCACCACUGCAUGUGACUUCUGUCUACUUUACAAGUAUCAAUCACUUUUAUCUUGAUAUUUCAGGUGAAAUUCUACCUUUAGUAGAAGAGGAAGAUUUUACUUAUUUAUUUAUUUAUUUAUUCAUUUAUUUAUUAUUCCAUGUGUGUGAGUACUCUGUCGUUGUCUUUAGACGCCAGAAGAAGGCAUCGGAUCCCCAUUACAGAUGGUUGUGAGCCACCAUGUGGGUGCUGGGAAUUGAACUCAGAACUUAUGGAAGAGCAGUCAGUGCUCUUAACCGCAGAGCCAUCUCUCUGGCCCAGAAGAGGAAGAGCUAAUUCAUUUCUGGAAUCCUGGGCUACUGAGCCCCUACUUCCUGUCCCAUUUGUUUAUUUAUUAAAUAUAUUCUGAGACAGGUUCUGACCAUGUCACCCUUGCUGGCCUCAAACACCUUAUGUAGAUCAGGUUGGCCUCGAACUCACAGAGAUCUGCUUGCUUCAAUUGCCUGAAUCUUUGGCCAUCAUGCCCAGGGUUUCCCUGUAAUUGACACUUGUCCGUGAGUUCUAUGGCUAGAGUGUUCAUGCUCUACAAUUUGUCCCUGUGACCAAGCUGGAUCCACCCCCCAGGAUUUGGAGGACACCAGGCAAGUGCAGAACCAGAACUCUGGCAUUGGACAGGAGAAGAGACUGCUCUGAAGAUGACUGCUCACCAGCUGGGUGGGCCGGGAACCUCGAGGAUUUAAUUUAAAACAGUACCAGUUAUUGAGUCUCUUGGACUUCCUGCAGAAGCAAAUGGAAACGUUCUAUGGGGAAACCACUUCAAGUUCCAACAGAUACCUUCUAAGGAAGACGAGAAAUGGUUUAAGGUUAAAAAAAAUAUGAGGGAAUAGACCCGAGUUCAAAAACAGCAGAGCAAACGGCAACAGAGACCUCAGCUCUCAGGAGUGGCGUGUGCAUCACGAAAGCUUCGUAUGUUUAAAGAAAUGAAUGAUGAGUGUGCUUAUAUAGAUGAAAAUUAAAAAAAAAAAAAAAGACUAGAAACCACCCAAGCAGAUUUCCAAAAGAGUCAAAUAGACAUCAUAGGUGAAAAAUAUGGUUACCGGUCAAACAGAAAAUCUACUGACAUCCAGAGGAGAAUGGGUUGCAGCUAUAAGUUCCAUUGGAUAGCAUGAAACGUGAGUGUGCGGAAAGACGAUUGGUGGAGAAAUGACAAACUACAUGUAAUAAAAUGCGGGUGUAAAUCGGGUUUCAAGAGAGUAUGAGGUCUGUUGUUUGCCUCUGCCCAGUUACUUGGAGCACGCCACCUAGCAGGGACCCAAUGCUACCUGUUGAAGGAAGACAUCGGCUACCGGCCCUCUCAGCAGGAAGGAGCUGAAGACAGUGAGAGUUAAGAGUUUAUCUGGCCAUGUAGGGUAACCAGAUGGCAAACUGGAAGAUUCAAAAAAGAGGAAAUAUCUGCGGCUGGCAAAUAGACAGGAAAAUUCACACUUUGCUAAACCUGCUGUGACUUGGGGUGGCAUUUCAGGAGGGCAGCUUACAGUGUGAACUACAUGCUCCUCAUGACUCCGUUUCUAGGGUUUCGCUCUAAGGACACGGUGGAGGAUUUGUUCAAUCACACUGGCAUU